rnacentral:rRNA from 1 species
GAUGAACGCUGGCGGCGUGCCUAAUACAUGCAAGUCGAGCGAACGGACGAGAAGCUUGCUUCUCUGAUGUUAGCGGCGGACGGGUGAGUAACACGUGGAUAACCUACCUAUAAGACUGGGAUAACUUCGGGAAACCGUAGCUAAUACCGGAUAAUAUUUUGAACCGCAUGGUUCAAAAGUGAAAGACGGUCUUGCUGUCACUUAUAGAUGGAUCCGCGCUGCAUUAGCUAGUUGGUAAGGUAACGGCUUACCAAGGCAACGAUGCAUAGCCGACCUGAGAGGGGGGACCGGCCAACGUGGAAUGGAGACAGGGCCCAGCUCCCUGGGGGGGGCAGAAGUGGGGAUUUUCCGCAAAGGGGAGAAACCCGGACGGACAACCCCGGGGGGAGGAAUGAGGUUCUUCGGAUCUAAAAACUUUUUUAUGGGGAAAAAAAAUUUGUGAAAGAAACUGUGCACAUCUUGAGGGAACCAAACAAGAAAGCCAGGGCAAACUACGUC